rnacentral:rRNA from 1 species
AAGGGGAGUGAAAUAGAACCUGAAACCGUGUGCUUACAAGUAGUCAGAGCCCGUUAAUGGGUGAUGGCGUGCCUUUUGUAGAAUGAACCGGCGAGUUACGAUUUGAUGCAAGGUUAAGCAGUAAAUGUGGAGCCGUAGCGAAAGCGAGUCUGAAUAGGGCGUUUAGUAUUUGGUCGUAGACCCGAAACCAGGUGAUCUACCCUUGGUCAGGUUGAAGUUCAGGUAACACUGAAUGGAGGACCGAACCGACUUACGUUGAAAAGUGAGCGGAUGAACUGAGGGUAGCGGAGAAAUUCCAAUCGAACCUGGAGAUAGCUGGUUCUCUCCGAAAUAGCUUUAGGGCUAGCCUCAAGUGAUGAUUAUUGGAGGUAGAGCACUGUUUGGACGAGGGGCCCCUCUCGGGUUACCGAAUUCAGACAAACUCCGAAUGCCAAUUAAUUUAACUUGGGAGUCAGAACAUGGGUGAUAAGGUCCGUGUUCGAAAGGGAAACAGCCCAGACCACCAGCUAAGGUCCCAAAAUAUAUGUUAAGUGGAAAAGGAUGUGGCGUUGCCCAGACAACUAGGAUGUUGGCUUAGAAGCAGCCAUCAUUUAAAGAGUGCGUAAUAGCUCACUAGUCGAGUGACACUGCGCCGAAAAUGUACCGGGGCUAAACAUAUUACCGAAGCUGUGGAUUGUCCUUUGGACAAUGGUAGGAGAGCGUUCUAAGGGCGUUGAAGCAUGAUCGUAAGGACAUGUGGAGCGCUUAGAAGUGAGAAUGCCGGUGUGAGUAGCGAAAGACGGGUGAGAAUCCCGUCCACCGAUUGACUAAGGUUUCCAGAGGAAGGCUCGUCCGCUCUGGGUUAGUCGGGUCCUAA